UACGAAGGGGGCUAGCGUUGCUCGGAAUUACUGGGCGUAAAGCGCACGUAGGCGGCUUUCUAAGUCGGGGGUGAAAUCCUGGAGCUCAACUCCAGAACUGCCUUCGAUACUGGAGAGCUUGAGUCCGGGAGAGGUGAGUGGAACUGCGAGUGUAGAGGUGGAAUCCGUAGAUAUUCGCAAGAACACCAGUGGCGAAGGCGGCUCACUGGCCCGGUACUGACGCUGAGGUGCGAAAGCGUGGGGAGCAAACAGG
rnacentral:rRNA from 1 species